rnacentral:rRNA from 1 species
CAUGCGCGAAGCGUGAUAGGGGAAUUCUGAGUGGCUAGGUUUUUUUGACUGUUUUUUUUGUGAUUACUUUGGUAAAAAGGGGAGGUUAAUACAGGUGCCAGCCGCCGCGGUAAUCCGCGAACCCCCAGUGGUAGCCGCGGUCAUUGGGCCUGAAGCAUCCGCCGCCGGAUCAUUAAAUUCUCUGUUAAAUCCCUUAACUUAACUGGGGAAUUGCCUGGAAAACUGUUGGUCUAGGCACUGGGGAAGGUCGGGGGUAUUCUUGGGGUAGGGGGAAAAUCCUUUAAUCCUACGUAAACCACCAAGGGCAAAGGCGCUUGACCGGAAAAGCUCCAACGGGGGGGAACGAAAGGGACGGGAACAAACCGGAUUAAAUACCCCAAAGGUCCUAAAAAUAAACGGAUCAAAAUGGGGAGUACGCCCUCCCUUAAAUUUCUGCGUGCCCGAGGGAAGACGUGAAUUGGGGCCCCCGGGUGACUACGACCAAAGGUUUGAAACUUAAACGAAUUGGCGGGGGGACCCAA